AGAUUGAACGCUGGCGGCAUGCUUUACACAUGCAAGUCGAACGGUAACAGGCCGCAAGGUGCUGACGAGUGGCGAACGGGUGAGUAAUGCAUCGGAACGUGCCCAGUCGUGGGGGAUAACGCAGCGAAAGCUGUGCUAAUACCGCAUACGAUCUAUGGAUGAAAGCGGGGGACCGAAAGGCCUCGCGCGAUUGGAGCGGCCGAUGUCAGAUUAGCUAGUUGGUGGGGUAAAGGCCCACCAAGGCGACGAUCUGUAGCUGGUCUGAGAGGACGACCAGCCACACUGGAACUGAGACACGGUCCAGACUCCUACGGGAGGCAGCAGUGGGGAAUUUUGGACAAUGGGCGCAAGCCUGAUCCAGCAAUGCGCGUGCAGGAGAAGGCUUGGUGUAACUGCUUUGUACGGAACGAAACGGUCGUGGUUAAUACCGUCGGCUAAGUGACGGUACGUAAGAAUAAGCACCGGCUAACGUACGUGCCAGCAGCCGA
rnacentral:rRNA from 1 species